GAAAUUGAUGGGUCCAAAAGCAUAUGCAACUUUGAUCUGAUAGUAUAAACUCGCUCUCUAAUGUGGAUGUGAUAAUUCGUCUUCCUCCCAACACUGAGGAACCUUGCUGCUGCUUUCUGUCGCUGUUGCUGGUGGUAAAGGGCCCUUGACUGACACAUUUGAGAGGCUGGUCAAUCCAUGCACAGAGCUGAUAUGAGUUAAGGCAAAGGAAGCUUCAACCUUUAUUUCACUUAGCAGGAUUCCCUGGUUUCUUGGCCACCCAGAGACACCUUCUUGGGACUCAUUUCUCAUCCAACCGAAGGGGCCUGAUGUGCUCCUGGACUCCUUUAAGGAGAGAGAAACUUUGGGUGCAGCAUCACGAAUUGUAAGCAGGAAGCCAGGCUUCUGAGAGUCAGAUGGAACUGCAGCUGGGAGCAGGGGGGUUGUCAUUUGUCUGCCCUGAGCCACCAGAAAGGGUUCAGUGAGUCUUGAACACAGUGAUUAACUUCUCUUUAAUCUACGCAUCACUGCACAGCACAGCCAAUUGCUUGGCUUCCCCAAUAAGAGUCAUGAGUCACUCAAUGUCUUAAUGUGGACUGAGCACGUUUUAUUCCAAGCAGGUGCGACUGUUCCUGUAUGUGCCUUUGAGAUACCUAGGAAAUGAAUAAUGCUUGUUGUCCCCCUCCAACACCAACUGAACAUUGAAUCAAUGGUUUACUAUUUUAAUAACAAGUGAAUAUUGCUCUAAGACUCCUUUUUUUUUUUUUUUUUUUGCUUGUUCAGUGCCAGAGGGAUAGGUUCCCAUUUCUUUUCCUGGCUGUUGGGUCACGGCUGAGGGUCCCUGGGAUGUGGGGCAUCUCCGUAAGUAACAGGAAGUAUAUUAACUCGUGGGUUAAUUAAGAAAAUCAUUGACGAAACCACAUGAGUGUGUGCUGUGCAAGCGACCCUUGGACUGCCAUAGAGGCCAGGAAUAGGGAGGGAAAAUUGGACCCAGCUGUGGCCUGCUUAGCUCUUUUCUUCCAAUGUGGGUCACUCCUUGAACUAGGACAGUCUGCAGGUGUUCCCAUUGUGCUCAGACAAACACUCAACUCUUAACCCUUGAAAGAAAGAAGUAGGAACAAAGGCCUGCUCGGGCAUGCUGGAGACGCAGAAAUUGUGGAGGGAAAAGCAGCAGGCCCUUUUCACAUGGUGGCUGCCUUAUCCUCUCUUACUCUAUUGUUCAAUCUGUUCAACUUAGUUAAGAACCCAUAGAUCUAGAUUCCACCCCCUCCUUCCCUACCACUCUCUGGCUGGGUGACUUUUGGCAAAUUUUCUAUCUUUUCUGAGCCUCAGUUUCUCAUCCUCACAGAACCAUUGUGAACACAAAAUGAGGGGCAGAAUGGGGACAUGUGAUAGGCAGAAUAAUGGCCCCAAAGACAUCCUUGCUCCAAUCCCCAGAACCUGGGAAAGUUAGCUUAUGUGACAAAUGGAGCUCUGCAAAUAUGAUGAAGUUAAGGAUUUUGAGAUGGGAAAAUGAUCCUAGAUUAUCCAGGUGGGCCCAAUAUACUCAAGGGGUCUUUAUAAGAGGGAGGCACACACUCAGAGAGGCAGAAGGCAAUGAGACUACCGAAGCAGAGAUGAGAGUGAUGUGGUCACAAGCUGGGGGAUGCAAGCAGGCCCUAGAGGAACAGACUCUUCCCUAGAGUCUUGGAAGCAGCCAGCCCUGCUGACCUUGACUUUAGCCAAGUGAAACUGAUUUUGGACUUCUGGCCUCCAGAACUGUAAGAGAAUAAAUUGGUAUUAUUUUAAGCCAUCAAGUUUGUGAUUUGUUACAGCAGCUGCAGGAAACUAAUGCAGGCUGAUUUGUAAAGUCCUCCUGUGAAAAUGGAAGAAUCUCCUGCAAUGUAGCCAGAGCCAGGGUGCUGCCUGUGAGGCUGGAUUAUGCCUGCUGCCUGACCCGGCCUGGUCACCCAGAUAUGAGCCCAAGCCCAGUGAGGAGAGACUCCAUGGACAGAGGUGAAGGAACUGUUCUCCAAAGGACUCUGACAGCUUGUGGGUACAAGCUGUGCUGCUUUGGGGCCCAGAUGACAGGUUCUAUUUUUAACUUCAUUUUACAAAUGAGGAAAAGGGGGCACAGAGAGAUUAAGGAGCAGGCCCUAAGUCACACAGCUAAGCAGCAGCAGAGCCAGGAUUUGAUCCUGGGACUAUCAGGCUGCAGAGCUGCCAGUCACUGCCUUGCUGGAGACAAAGGCCCACCCUCGUCAUCCAGCUGCAACUGUGCUUGCAGCUGGCUUUGAGCAAG
rnacentral:lncRNA from 1 species